GCAUUACCAUAUUAGGUCAUGAUAAGCCGUUGCCUAUAAUAUUUAAAAUAACACAACAAUCCAUGAUUUACCGUAAUUAAACAAGUUAAAAUAAAUCACUACCAGUAUCUUACAACAAUUCAAAACCAUGGCAAGUGUUCUUUGAAGAACUAAAGUUGUAAUAAGCUUAAACAACGGCAUAAUUCAUGUUUGACGGCAGUAAUGUCUAUUUAUAAAUGUCGAGCAGAGUACUGGAUCCAAAUGUACUGAUUUUCGUGCAAAAGUCGCCAGUGUUUCCCAGAGCCUCAGCAAGCCUCCACAGAGGAUUGCGGGCUCUGGUUUCGAGAUUGA